GUCUGCAGGAAACUUGGCCACACCCAUGAUAAGUGGACAUCCAGUUGUACGAGACUGCCAGAGCAGAAAGGUUGAAUCUGUACUUAUAUGAUAGUACAAGGAAAGAAGGCUCAGCCAAAUAAACUCAAGGCUUUACAUAAAUUAAAUCAUUCUAUAACUACGGUUCUUUAAUCUGAGAUCAUGGUCAAUCAAGACUUCUAAACAUAUGUCUUCAGAAAUAAAUUACAGAAUAAAGCCUGUUCCUGGUGAUCUGUCCAAGUGG